CACGUAGGCAUCAAGCGUUGUCCGGAUUUAUUGGGCGUAAAGAGCUCGUAGGCGGUUCAGCAAGUCGGGUGUGAAAACUAUGGGCUUAACCCAUAGCCUGCAUCCGAAACUGCUGUGACUAGAGUUCGGUAGGGGAGAGGGGAAUUCCUAGUGUAGCGGUGAAAUGCGCAGAUAUUAGGAGGAACACCGAUGGCGAAGGCACCUCUCUGGGCCGAUACUGACGCUGAGGAGCGAAAGCGUGGGUAGCAAACAGG
rnacentral:rRNA from 1 species